CCUACGGGGUGGCAGCAGUGGGGAAUAUUGGACAAUGGGGGGAACCCUGAUCCAGCCAUGCCGCGUGUGUGAAGAAGGCCCUCGGGUUGUAAAGCACUUUCAGUGAGGAAGAACGCCUGGUGGUUAAUACCCAUCAGGAAAGACAUCACUCACAGAAGAAGCACCGGCUAACUCCGUGCCAGCAGCCGCGGUAAUACGGAGGGUGCGAGCGUUAAUCGGAAUUACUGGGCGUAAAGCGCGCGUAGGUGGCUUGAUAAGCCGGUUGUGAAAGCCCCGGGCUCAACCUGGGAACGGCAUCCGGAACUGUCAAGCUAGAGUGCAGGAGAGGAAGGUAGAAUUCCCGGUGUAGCGGUGAAAUGCGUAGAGAUCGGGAGGAAUACCAGUGGCGAAGGCGGCCUUCUGGACUGACACUGACACUGAGGUGCGAAAGCGUGGGUAGCAAACAGGAUUAGAUACCCGUGUAGUC
rnacentral:rRNA from 1 species